rnacentral:rRNA from 1 species
CCUACGGGGGGCAGCAGUGGGGAAUAUUGCGCAAUGGGCGAAAGCCUGACGCAGCGACGCCGCGUGAGGGAUGAAGGUCUUCGGAUCGUAAACCUCUGUCAGCAGGGAAGAACGGUCACUGUGCUAAUCAGCAGUGAAUUGACGGCACCUGCAAAGGAAGCACCGGCUAACUCCGUGCCAGCAGCCGCGGUAAUACGGAGGGUGCGAGCGUUAAUCGGAAUUACUGGGCGUAAAGGGCUCGUAGGCGGUAUGGCAAGUCAAGGGUGAAAUCCCCGCGCUCAACGUGGGAACUGCCUUUGAAACUGGCAAGCUGGAGUGUGUGAGAGGAUAGUGGAAUUCCAGGUGUAGGGGUGAAAUCCGUAGAUAUCAGGAGGAACAUCAGUGGCGAAGGCGACCAUCUGGCACGUAACUGACGCUGAGGAGCGAAAGCGUGGGUAGCAAACAGGAUUAGAUACCCCAGUAGUC